UGGCGCCUAACAUCCCUGGAAAGGCCAUAUCGACAUGAGUCUCUAAAUUGGAGCCAAUGCAAGGAAACUCACAUGCUUUUCUUCUGUUUGAUCAAAACUUCUCUGGAGAAUAAAUCUAAGGCCUUGGAUCAUCUCACGGUAUGGCAACUGGAUUACAAAAGCGAGUAUCUUAAGAGAGACGUGGUACAAAGGAAUGACUUAUGCUUGGAAAUCAUGCAGCUUUCUUCUGUCAGAUUCUCUUUGAUAAAGUGUCAUGAUGGAAAUGAAACUCCUGUCUUGCAGUCAAACCUCAAUGAGGUUUGCUUCCUGCACUGGCUGAACCUACAUGUCUUCCUAAUUUGUAUAAUCAGAGGCCACCUGAAGAAUGGAUCAGUAGCAUCCUGGAAGAGCUGCGAGGAAAAUUUACCUGCUUAAAUUAUAUCCUCAGUCUAAAACUCCCACACCUGUCGUGUUUUUGCACUUUCUUCAUUCAUGCCUCCUCUGUGAUCAGCACUGGGCUUCCCAAAUCAUCCAAUCUUCCAGCAGGUAUCAGGUGGUAUGUCUAUUUUUAGCAUUAUCAUGGGCUAAGUGUUGUAAAGAAAACAAUGAUACAAAGAUGAAUGGAUCAGAGAUUCAGACAUAAGAAGCUCCCUAUUAAGGUGGGGGGACAGAUAAACAGACAAAUUAAAAACUGUGACAAAUGCUAACACCUCUCUCCUAGAGAGUACUGAAUUAAAUUGAAAAAAAGUCCCUCAAACUGGCAAUUAGAUCUCAAUGAUGGCACCUUAAAGAGAGCAGUUUCAGGAAAGAAGGUGAAAGCCACGUUAUUUUGGAGUUGUACUGAUUGGGUGGUUGUAGAAUGACCACAAUGAACUGUUCUAUAGUAAAUUUUGCAUAAAAAUGUAUCACCACAAGAUGGUAGCUAAUGGGAACUCAGAUGUCAGGAGAACAUUUGUUUAUCUGCUUUAAAGAUGAGAGAUUUGUGGUAUGAACUUGCUAUUGUGAAGGAACUUCAUGCCUCAAAUCUCAGAAGUUUGUGUGUUUUUUUGUUGUUGAAUUUUGCUUUUUUUUUUUCAAGUUUUUAAGUCAACUUUUAAAAUGCAAAUACUACUGAGAAGAGUAGGCUCUUAGUAAAAUCUGUCAGUUGUCAGUUAACACCUUAGCAGGGCACAGGAUGCUAGGGGGUGCCAAGAGCAGACAGGAGAAAUGCUGCUCCUGACGAGGUGGGAGAGCACCCAAUAUCCGUUUCUUCACAGUUGCGCCUGGGAGUCAGCCAGAGAAUCCCAGCUGGUCCUGGUUUGACAAACAAUCCUCAUUCUCAUUCAAUUGCCCAGAGUAUAGGAACACAAACAGGACUCAAAUAAAUGCUUUUGCAAAUUGUUCUCCCUUGCUGGGAUUAGUUUUUAAAUCAAUGAAGAUAUAGAUUAUAGAAGCAAACCAGGGAUUACAGAAGAAUAAUUUUGAUUACUACAAAUAAUACUAAAAUGAUGCAUGUUUAUGAACAGCUAAAAAAUAUAAAAG